UACAGAGGCCUCGAGCGUUUAGGCGGAAUCACUGGGCUUAAAGCGUGUGUAGGCGGGCGAUCAAGUACCUUGUGAAAUCCCACGGCUCAACCGUGGAACGGCUGGGUAUACUGGGUGCCUUGGGUCAUCUAGGGGCUGCCGGAACAAAUGGUGGAGCGGUGAAAUGCGUAGAUAUCAUUUGGAACGCCAACGGCGAAAGCAGGCAGCUGGGGGAUGCACCGACGCUGAGACACGAAAGCCAGGGGAGCGAACGGG
rnacentral:rRNA from 1 species